rnacentral:rRNA from 1 species
UUGUGNCAGCACGCCGCGGUAAUACGUAGGUGGCAAGCGUUGUCCGGAAUUACUGGGCGUAAAGAGCGCGUAGGCGGGGAUUUAAGUCAGGAGUGAAAACUGCGGGCUCAACCUGCAGCCUGCUCUUGAAACUGGAUUUCUUGAGGGUAUGAGAGGAAAGCGGAAUUCCCAGUGUAGCGGUGAAAUGCGUAGAUAUUGGGAGGAACACCAGUGGCGAAGGCGGCUUUCUGGCAUACAACUGACGCUGAGGCGCGAAAGCGUGGGGAGCGAACGGGAUUAGAUACCCCGGUAGUCCACGCCGUAAACGAUGGGCACUAGGUGUAGGAGGUAUCGACCCCUUCUGUGCCGUAGUUAACACAAAA